ensembl:snoRNA
AUACUUUUGUAGCUCAUAAACAUGAUGAUUCAGUGUCCAAGUGCAUGCAUGAGAUGUGCCUCCCUCAAACCUUGUCACAUCAGCACGUUGCCCAUCUGACA